UUUUAAUUUCAAGCGUUAACCUAUUCAUUUCUGCACAUUCUAAUAUUUUCCUAGUCACAUUUUCAUCCGUAGGAAUAUCAUCUUUUUCCCAAUUUUGUUCAAAUACUUCCCUCUUUCUUCCACUUUUAAAAUAUACCUCCAAGCAAUUUGUAAAACGCAGUAUGUAUUUUGAAUAGACAAAUCCAUCUUCAGUUAUUUCCCCAUUCUUACACCCUAAGCAGUUUCUUUUUCUUGCAGAUGACGACGAAUCUGAUGAGGAAUCUAUGAAAAAAACCAACAAAUGUUCCCUGGUUUGGGAGGGCACGGCAAAGGAGCGGAGCUUUGGCGAGAUGAAAUUCAAGCAGUGUCCUACGGAAAACAUGGCACGGGAGCAUUUUAAGAAACACGGCACUGAGCAUUACUGGGACCUGGCUCUGAGCGAGUCGGUCCUAGAACCCACAGACUGAUGGCCUUUUCCGGAGCCCCUUCUCAUAUUUCUGGUGCGUGAGACCUAAAGAGCAAGAACCGAGCAGGGACGUGAGACUCUGAACCCCACAAAUUCCUCACAGUAAGAUGCGUACAAUUAAAGGAAAUAUUUUUCAGAUCCAAACAACAGAGGUUUUCAUUUUAAUUUUUGGCUUUGGACCAAAAACGCUCGACGCACACUCUCCAAACGUUUCUGCCACGCUGUCCGGAAGAACUCAAGCUGAAACUUUAAAAGCAACGGAAGCCGUCUAUCAGCCAGGUCUUCUCUUCCAAAGCCUUCCAACUUUAAAACAAUACGGCCCUCGUCUUUAUUUUGUUUCUUCCCAGUUCUGUAGGUUUGUUUGAUCAUUAGUCAGCGAGCAAAGAUACCCCCUAGAAAAGGGGAGAGGGGGAAAAUAACAGCACCGAGUCACAGACUCUCGAGCACAGGAGGCCGUAGUUCCGACCCCUGGGGAGAACGUACAGCAGGUUAGGAGCUGGGGAAUUAGCCCACAUCCUGCAUUUGCAUAAUAAAAUUGUUUUUUAUGAGAUCUUGAAAAAAA